CUGGCUCAGGACGAACGCUGGCGGCGUGCUUAACACAUGCAAGUCAAGGGCUCGCAAGGGCACUGGCGCACGGGUGCGUAACGCGUAGGCAAUCUGCCCUUCACACCGACAUAACAGUUCUAACGGACUGCUAAUAUCGGAUGGGGUAUAAAAGUUAUGGUGAAGGAUGAGCCUGCGUCCGAUUAGGUAGUUGGUAGGGUAACGGCCUACCAAGCCGACGAUCGGUAGCUGGUCUGAGAGGAUGAUCAGCCACAUUGGAACUGAGACACGGUCCAGACUCCUACGGGAGGCAGCAGUGAGGAAUAUUGCGCAAUGGACGAAAGUCUGACGCAGCAACGCCGCGUGUGGGAA
rnacentral:rRNA from 1 species